GCUCCGGCGCCUCGGAUCGUGUCGGAUCAGGUGCGUCUCAUCAGGUUUUAUUCUGCAGGAAGGAGAACCGAGUGUUUUCUGGCUGAACGUCCUGGUUGAGCUGCAGCUGGUCGGACCGGUCUGACCAGAACACGGCGAGGGCGGACGGGCGAGCGACAGGCAGAGAGAGAGGAGGGUGUGAAGAAGACGAUAAGAGCCCAGGUUUGUCAGACCGGGUCAGAACCGCUGAGCUUUCUUUACUCAAUGAUGAAGAUUUUUGAUCCCAGUUGUCGCAGCAGGAUUACCUGAGCGUCUGGAGCGGCGCGGAAAAAAACGGAUCGGACCUUUUCCGACUUAUCAGCUCUUCAGUGAAGGACAGCCAUCAUGAGCGGACAGGGCGAGGGGCAUCGGGGGUCCAGGAUGCCCCAGAACGUCAAGCCUAAACCGGGCCAGCCGGCUCCGACCCAGAAGGACCGGCCCCAGAAGGCGCGCCGCUCCCGCAGCAGCGACUCAGAGCGAGGGAGGAGGCGGGAGCGUCACCACAGUGACCGGCACCGGCGGGGCCGCAGCGAGGAGACCCGGCACCGGCGGGACGGGAAGGACGCGGAGCGGCGGGACACGCCCCCCAUGGACCUUCUGGGGGACACGGAGUGCGCCGUGUGCUUCAGUUCCUACGACAACGUCUUCAAGACGCCCAAGCUGCUGGCCUGCGGUCACACCUUCUGCCUGGAGUGCCUGGCGCGCAUCAACGUCACGUCGCCGGAGAUCAAGACGCUGUCGUGCCCCGUGUGCCGCGUCCUGACCGAGCUGCCCCGCGGCCGCGACCUGCCCCGCCUGGGCAACAACCAGGACGUCAUCGGCCGCCUGCCGGCCGAAAUGCGCCACGCGCUGUCCAUCCGCUUCCAGCGCAGCAAAGGCCGGCUGCUGCUGAAGCACCCGCCCCCCGCCGCCAAGUCCGCCGCCAUCAGCCUGCCCGUCAAGAAGCACCAGGUCCCGCCGGCGGCCGUCCAGGGCGGCGAACUGGCCGCCGCCGAGGAGGGCGGCGCCCCGCCCACCAUGGUGGACGUGGGCAGACCGCCGAGCAGGAUGAGGGGACGCAUGCGGCUCCUGUUCCACUCCGACCGCUGCUACUACGCCGUGGUGGCGUCCAUCAUCACCAUCACCGUGGCGCUGAUGAUGGUGGGCAUCCUGGCCUUCAUCAUCGUCCCCAGAGUGACAAUUAACACUGGACCCGGCAGACCCGGCGGGAACUUUACCGGCUCCUCCUCACAGGAGAGCAGCGAGAACUUUGGACCGAACUCACCCUGAGGGGGCGGGGCCUGAGCGGCAGGGCCUGAGGGGUGGGGCCUGAGGGGCGCUGAGGUUUUACUCCGGGUGUGAAACGGUGAAGGAAGGAGCAUUGAGGAAGAACAAGAUGGAGGUGUUUUUCCCAGCUGAGCAUGAAGAACUUUGACCCCAGAGGGGUCAGGAAGGAUCGCGCUGAGUUUUCACUCCAGGUAUGAAGCGGUGAAGGAAUGAGGAAGAACAAGAUGGCGGCGUUUCUCCAGGCUGACUGUGAAGGAUACGGGGUUCCAUCGGUGAUGAUUCAGUGAAAAUGAACAGCAAUAAUUUAUUAUUUAACCAUCAUAAGAGAAAAAAUGAAAAUGAAUAUUUCAGUCAUCGAUUCAUCAUAUUUCUAUGCUCAUUGUUUAUUUGCCAAAUUAAAUAUUUACCUUCAAAUUAAAAAUGUUUCCCCAAGCUAAAUAUUUAAUCAGUAACCUAAAUAAUUAGCUGGUUAAAUAUCUGCUUUGAACCUGUGACAUUUACAAAUGAAUGAAUGUAAAACUGUAACUGUAAACCGUUUCCUGGAUAAUUACUGGUUUGUUUUUGACUUCCGACUGACAGAAUCUGACUGUGAACCAGUCGGGGGGAGAAUCGUCUCCAGACCACGAAAAGCACUAAACCUUCUGAAACUCCUUAUUUAUACCCUGAACUCUAAACAGAAACGAUGAGCAGAUAUUCACAGAACCGUGACACCUGACACCCUCCUGUGCUGAAAGCACUUCAGCUGAGAGCGGGCCCAGUUCAGGCCCAGUUCAGGCCCAGUUCAGGUCCAGGUCGGGUCCAGGUGGACCAGCCGGUUCCGCCGCAUGCCGACCCGCUGCUUGAUGCCAGGUCCGUAACCCGGGGCAACAGACUGAAUGCGGGAAUGUCAGGAAACAUCCAGGCGACCAUUACAGGAACAACACCAGAAAUAAACAGAAAUGCUUUUAAUUUCUGCUCCCUUCAGGCCUGGACUUUGACUAGACCAUUGGAACAUCUGGAUUCUCUUCUUUUGCUGCUGUUCUGUUGCAGAUUGGGAGUGUAGCUCUGAAAAUCACUUUAGCUCUGCAGGGGGAGGAUGGAAAACAAUUUGAUUUGAAAAAUAAAAACCUAAAGGAAGGAAUAUUUUAUUUUAAUUUUAUUAUUUUAGUUCAUUUAGUAGUUUGGGUUAAACCAGGGCUCUGGAUCCUGGCUAAAAUAAUCGUCAACUAAAACACAACUGCAGGUUUCAACAGGUUUUAUAAAAUAAGUCCAUUAAAUUUCCACAACAGAAAUAUGUCAAAGUGCCAGUAAUGUUUGUUUAAAUGUUUUUUCAUAUAAUUUUUGGAUUUUUGUGCUUUGCAGCAUCUCCACAAU